AUGUCAAGGUUAGUUCCCAACCUACACCACAAUAUGUGUGUGGUAUUGUGGUGUAGGUCACACAUACUGUGGUGUAGGUUGGGAACUAACCUAAUCUU
rnacentral:pre_miRNA from 1 species